CCUACGGGAGGCAGCAGUGGGGAAUAUUGCGCAAUGGGCGAAAGCCUGACGCAGCGACGCCGCGUGAGGGAUGAAGGUCUUCGGAUCGUAAAACUCUGUCAGCAGGGAAGAACGGUCACUGUGCUAAUCAGCAGUGAAUUGACGGUACCUGCACAGGAAGCACCGGCUAACUCCGUGCCAGCAGCCGCGGUAAUACGGCGGGUGCGAGCGUUGAUCGGAAUUACUGGGCGUAAAGCGCUCGUAGGCGGUAUGUCAAGUCAAGGGUGAAAUCCCCGGGCUCAACGGGGGAACUGCCUUUGAAACUGGCAAACUGGAGUGUGUGAGAGGAUAGUGGAAUGCCAGGUGUAGGAGUGAAAUCCGUAGAUAUCGGGAGGAACAUCAGUGGCGAAGGCGACUAUCUGGCACGUAACUGACGCUGAGGAGCGAAAGCGUGGGUAGCAAACAGGAUUAGAUACCCGAGUAGUC
rnacentral:rRNA from 1 species